rnacentral:rRNA from 1 species
GGGCUCACACAAGCGGUGGAGGAUGUUGCUCAAUUCGAAGCAACGCGAAGAACCUUACCUGGGUUUGACAUGCAGGAAUUAACCCCAUGAAAGUGGGGGGAUUGCCUUCGGGUGUAACCUGUACAGGUGUUGCAUGGCUGUCGUCAGCUCGUGCCUUGAGGUGUUGGGUUAAGUCCCCUAACGAGCGAAACCCCUGUCGUUAGUUGCCAUCGGGUCAUGCCGGGCACUCUAGCGAGACUGCCGGUGUCAAACCGGAGGAAGGUGGGGACGACGUCAAGUCAUCAUGGCCCUUAUAUCCAGGGCGGCAAACGUCCUACAAUGGCCCGUACAAAGGGAAGCAAAGCCGCGAGGCGGAGCAAAUCCCAAAAAGCGGGCCCUAGUUCGGAUUGCAGGCUGCAAUUCGCCUGCAUGAAGCUGGAAUCGCUAGUAAUCGCGGAUCAGAACGCCGCGGUGAAUAUGUUCCUGAGCCUU